rnacentral:rRNA from 1 species
GCAGUGGACGCACGAGGUACACCGUAGUUUACUACACCGUACUUUGUGAGUCGCGAACGGGUGAGUAACGCGUAGGUAACCUACCUUUUAGCGGGGGAUAACUAUUGGAAACGAUAGCUAAUACCGCAUAAGAUAUCUUACUGCAUGGUAAGAUAUUAAAAGAUGCAAUUGCAUCACUAAGAGAUGGACCUGCGUUGUAUUAGCUAGUAGGUGAGGUAACGGCUCACCUAGGCAACGAUACAUAGCCGACCUGAGAGGGUGAUCGGCCACACUGGGACUGAGACACGGCCCAGACUCCUACGGGAGGCAGCAGUAGGGAAUCUUCGGCAAUGGGGGGAACCCUGACCGAGCAACGCCGCGUGAGUGAAGAAGGUUUUCGGAUCGUAAAGCUCUGUUGUAAGAGAAGAACGAGUGUGAGAGUGGAAAGUUCACACUGUGACGGUAACUUACCAGAAAGGGACGGCUAACUACGUGCCAGCAGCCGCGGUAAUACGUAGGUCCCGAGCGUUGUCCGGAUUUAUUGGGCGUAAAGCGAGCGCAGGCGGUUAGAUAAGUCUGAAGUUAAAGGCUGUGGCUUAACCAUAGUACGCUUUGGAAACUGUUUAACUUGAGUGCAGAAGGGGAGAGUGGAAUUCCAUGUGUAGCGGUGAAAUGCGUAGAUAUAUGGAGGAACACCGGUGGCGAAAGCGGCUCUCUGGUCUGUAACUGACGCUGAGGCUCGAAAGCGUGGGGAGCAAACAGGAUUAGAUACCCUGGUAGUCCACGCCGUAAACGAUGAGUGCUAGGUGUUGGGUCCUUUCCGGGACUCAGUGCCGCAGCUAACGCAUUAAGCACUCCGCCUGGGGAGUACGACCGCAAGGUUGAAACUCAAGGAAUUGACGGGGGCCCGCACAAGCGGUGGAGCAUGUGGUUUAUUUCGAAGCAC